rnacentral:tRNA from 1 species
UGUGGCUCAGUGGUAGAGCACUUGCUUAGCAGGCAUGAGGCACUGGGUUCAAGUCUCAGCA